UACGAAGGGGGCUAGCGUUGUUCGGAAUCACUGGGCGUAAAGGGCGCGUAGGCGGCCGAUCAAGUCGGGGGUGAAAGCCUGUGGCUCAACCACAGAAUUGCCUUCGAUACUGUUUGGCUUGAGACCGGAAGAGGUUAGUGGAACUGCGAGUGUAGAGGUGAAAUUCGUAGAUAUUCGCAAGAACACCAGUGGCGAAGGCGGCUGACUGGUCCGGUUCUGACGCUGAGGCGCGAAAGCGUGGGAGCAAACAGG
rnacentral:rRNA from 1 species